rnacentral:rRNA from 1 species
GACGAACGCUGGCGGCGUGCUUAACACAUGCAAGUCGAACGGAAAGGCCCUGCUUUUGUGGGGUGCUCGAGUGGCGAACGGGUGAGUAACACGUGAGUAACCUGCCCUUGACUUUGGGAUAACUUCAGGAAACUGGGGCUAAUACCGGAUAGGAGCUCCUGCUGCAUGGUGGGGGUUGGAAAGUUUCGGCGGUUGGGGAUGGACUCGCGGCUUAUCAGCUUGUUGGUGGGGUAGUGGCUUACCAAGGCUUUGACGGGUAGCCGGCCUGAGAGGGUGACCGGCCACAUUGAGACUGAGAUACGGCCCGGACUCCUACGGGAGGCAGCAGUGGGGAAUAUUGCACAAUGGGCGGAAGCCUGAUGCAGCAACGCCGCGUGCGGGAUGACGGCCUUCGGGUUGUAAACCGCUUUCGCCUGUGACGAAGCGUGAGUGACGGUAAUGGGUAAAGAAGCACCGGCUAACUACGUGCCAGCAGCCGCGGUGAUACGUAGGGUGCGAGCGUUGUCCGGAUUUAUUGGGCGUAAAGGGCUCGUAGGUGGUUGAUCGCGUCGGAAGUGUAAUCUUGGGGCUUAACCCUGAGCGUGCUUUCGAUACGGGUUGACUUGAGGAAGGUAGGGGAGAAUGGAAUUCCUGGUGGAGCGGUGGAAUGCGCAGAUAUCAGGAGGAACACCAGUGGCGAAGGCGGUUCUCUGGGCCUUUCCUGACGCUGAGGAGCGAAAGCGUGGGGAGCGAACAGGCUUAGAUACCCUGGUAGUCCACGCUGUAAACGGUGGGUACUAGGUGUGGGGUCCAUUCCACGGGUUCCGUGCCGUAGCUAACGCUUUAAGUACCCCGCCUGGGGAGUACGGCCGCAAGGCUAAAACUCAAAGGAAUUGACGGGGCCCCGCACAAGCGGCGGAGCAUGCGGAUUAAUUCGAUGCAACGCGUAGAACCUUACCUGGGUUUGACAUGGAUCGGGAGUGCUCAGAGAUGGGUGUGCCUCUUUUGGGGUCGGUUCACAGGUGGUGCAUGGCUGUCGUCAGCUCGUGUCGUGAGAUGUUGGGUUAAGUCCCGCAACGAGCGCAACCCUUGUUCACUGUUGCCAGCACGUUAUGGUGGGGACUCAGUGGAGACCGCCGGGGUCAACUCGGAGGAAGGUGGGGAUGACGUCAAGUCAUCAUGCCCCUUAUGUCCAGGGCUUCACGCAUGCUACAAUGGCUGGUACAGAGAGUGGCGAGCCUGUGAGGGUGAGCGAAUCUCGGAAAGCCGGUCUCAGUUCGGAUUGGGGUCUGCAACUCGACCUCAUGAAGUCGGAGUCGCUAGUAAUCGCAGAUCAGCAACGCUGCGGUGAAUACGUUCCCGGG